UCCGCAGGCUGUUUUUUAAGUCAGAGGUGAAAUCCUACAGCUCAACUGUAGAAUUGCCUUUGAAACUGAAAGACUUGAGUUAUUGUGAAGUGGUUAGAAUGUGUGGUGUAGCGGUGAAAUGCAUAGAUAUCACACAGAAUACCAAUUGCGAAGGCAGAUCACUAACAAUUAACUGACGCUCAGGGACGAAAGCGUGGGUAGCGAACAGGAUUAGAUACCCUGGUAGUCCACGCCGUAAACGAUGGAUACUAGCUGUAUGUUUACCUCAGGUAAAUGUGUGGCCAAGCGAAAGUGAUAAGUAUCCCACCUGGGGAGUACGAUCGCAAGAUUGAAACUCAAAGGAAUUGACGGGGGCCCGCACAAGCGGUGGAGCAUGUGGUUUAAUUCGAUGA
rnacentral:rRNA from 1 species